CCUACGGGGGGCAGCAGUGGGGAAUAUUGGACAAUGGGGGGAACUCUGAUCCAGCGACGCCGCGUGAGUGAAGAAGUAUUUCGGUAUGUAAAGCUCUAUCAGCAGGGAAGAAAGAAAUGACGGUACCUGACUAAGAAGCCCCGGCUAACUACGUGCCAGCAGCCGCGGUAAUACGUAGGGGCCAAGCGUUAUCCGGAUUUACUGGGUGUAAAGGGAGCGUAGACGGCGAUGCAAGUCUGAAGUGAAAGGCGGGGGCCCAACCCCUGGACUGCUGUGGAAACUGUAUGGCUGGAGUGCAGGAAGGGUAAGUGGAAUUCCUAGUGUAGCGGUGAAAUGCGUAGAUAUUAGGAGGAACACCAGUGGCGAAGGCGGCUGACUGGACUGUAACUGACGUUGAGGCUCGAAAGCGUGGGGAGCAAACAGGAUUAGAUACCCCUGUAGUC
rnacentral:rRNA from 1 species